AGCGGCGGACGGGUGAGUAAUGCUUAGGAAUCUGCCUAUUAGUGGGGGACAACAUUCCGAAAGGGAUGCUAAUACCGCAUACGUCCUACGGGAGAAAGCAGGGGAUCUUCGGACCUUGCGCUAAUAGAUGAGCCUAAGUCGGAUUAGCUAGUUGGUGGGGUAAAGGCCUACCAAGGCGACGAUCUGUAGCGGGUCUGAGAGGAUGAUCCGCCACACUGGGACUGAGACACGGCCCAGACUCCUACGGGAGGCAGCAGUGGGGAAUAUUGGACAAUGGGGGGAACCCUGAUCCAGCCAUGCCGCGUGUGUGAAGAAGGCCUUAUGGUUGUAAAGCACUUUAAGCGAGGAGGAGGCUACUGAGACUAAUACUCUUGGAUAGUGGACGUUACUCGCAGAAUAAGCACCGGCUAACUCUGUGCCAGCAGCCGCGGUAAUACAGAGGGUGCGAGCGUUAAUCGGAUUUACUGGGCGUAAAGCGUGCGUAGGCGGCUUUUUAAGUCGGAUGUGAAAUCCCCGAGCUUAACUUGGGAAUUGCAUUCGAUACUGGGAAGCUAGAGUAUGGGAGAGGAUGGUAGAAUUCCAGGUGUAGCGGUGAAAUGCGUAGAGAUCUGGAGGAAUACCGAUGGCGAAGGCAGCCAUCUGGCCUAAUACUGACGCUGAGGUACGAAAGCAUGGGGAGCAAACAGGAUUAGAUACCCUGGUAGUCCAUGCCGUAAACGAUGUCUACUAGC
rnacentral:rRNA from 1 species